rnacentral:rRNA from 1 species
UACAGAGGUCUCAAGCGUUGUUCAGAUUCAUUGGGCGUAAAGGGUGCGUAGGUGGCGUGGUAAGUCGGGUGUGAAAUUUCGGAGCUUAACUCCGAAACUGCAUUCGAUACUGCCGUGCUUGAGGACUGGAGAGGAGACUGGAAUUUACGGUGUAGCAGUGAAAUGCGUAGAGAUCGUAAGGAAGACCAGUGGCGAAGGCGGGUCUCUGGACAGUUCCUGACACUGAGGCACGAAGGCCAGGGGAGCAAACGGG